rnacentral:tRNA from 1 species
GGGUCGUUAGCUCAGUUGGUAGGGCAGUUGACUUUUCAUCAAUUGGUCGCAGGUUCGAAUCCUGCACGACCCCCCA